rnacentral:rRNA from 1 species
UGGGGAAUUUUGGACAAUGGGCGAAAGCCUGAUCCAGCAAUGCCGCGUGUGUGAAGAAGGCCUUCGGGUUGUAAAGCACUUUUGUCCGGAAAGAAAUCCUUGGCUCUAAUACAGUCGGGGGAUGACGGUACCGGAAGAAUAAGCACCGGCUAACUACGUGCCAGCAGCCGCGGUAAUACGUAGGGUGCAAGCGUUAAUCGGAAUUACUGGGCGUAAAGCGUGCGCAGGCGGUUUGCUAAGACCGAUGUGAAAUCCCCGGGCUCAACCUGGGAACUGCAUUGGUGACUGGCAGGCUAGAGUAUGGCAGAGGGGGUAGAUUCCACGUGUAGCAGUGAAAUGCGUAGAGAUGUGGAGAAUACCGAUGGCGAAGGCAGCCCCCUGGGCCAAUACUGACACUCAUGCACGAAAGCGUGGGGAGCAAACAGGAUUAGAUACCCUGGUAGUCCACGCCCUAAACGAUGUCAACUAGUUGUUGGGGAUUCAUUUCCUUAGUAACGUAGCUAACGCGUGAAGUUGACCGCCUGGGGAGU